rnacentral:rRNA from 1 species
ACGCUCGACACCUACGGGAGGCAGCAGUGGGGAAUAUUGCACAAUGGGGGAAACCCGUAGAUGCAGCGACGCCGCGUGGAGGAAGAAGGUCUUCGGAUUGUAAACUCCUGUUGUUGGGGAAAAAGAAGGAUGGUACCCAACAAGGAAGUGACGGCUAACUACGUGCUAGCAGCCGCGGUAAUCUGAGCGGGCUGGCAAGGC